AGUAGAGCGUUCCUUUCUGGGAGGAGAGGCAGAACAGUGUCUGACUGAGAGCAUAGCACCUGGAGCCAGGUGUCUUCUGCUUUGAUACCAACUUUGCCACUUGUCAGCAGCAUGGCUUUGGGCGAAGUACUUCAUCACUCUUUACUUUGGCUUCCUAAUCUGUAAAGUGGGGAUGUUGAUAAUAAGACCUAACCUGGAGGAUCGUUAUGGGGCAAAACAUAUUCUUACUUUUAUGGACAAGAAGACCCAGGCUCAGAAAGUCAAGUGUCUUCCAAGUUCACGGAGCUGGUCUCACCUACCAAAUCAUAAUAAAUAUCUAUAUAUUUGGAGAUAGAGAUGAAAACCAUGUGGCUGUAUCCAGUUGGAGUGAAAAAUAUGAACUAUGAAGAAAGAAGGAGUUCUGCUUCUUCCAAAGGAGUGACUCCCAAAGGAACAAGAAUUGACCAUAGGUUAUGGCUUGUGUUACAAUACACCGAUGUUGUCUUUGAGGCCAUCCACUGACGUCCUCACCCAUGGCAUAAGCAAGUUUUUCUGAAGGUCUCUCUUGUGCUCCUGCCUCCUGCCAUGAGAACAGCAAGUCCCAGGUAAGAACUAAUCCUUCUGCCUAACUCUCCAUAGGAGAAAACCUGAACUUGACCUACGUUCUGGAACAGAGCCACCCAGAUGACCCACAGACACUGGGAGAGAAAUGAAGACUUAUUGUUUUAGACUUUGAUAUUCUGGAAUUGAUUGCAGCAUCAUUACGGCAAAAGCUGACUAAUACAAUUCCAUUUGUUAUUCUAUUAAGUUCUUUUUGUUAAAAAAGUAUAUAA
rnacentral:lncRNA from 1 species